rnacentral:rRNA from 1 species
GUGGGGAAUUUUUGACAAUGGGCGCAAGCCUGAUCCAGCAAUGCCGCGUGCAGGAAGAAGGCCUUCGGGUUGUAAACUGCUUUUGUACGGAACGAAACGGUCCUGGCUAAUAUCCGGGGCUAAUGACGGUACCGUAAGAAUAAGCACCGGCUAACUACGUGCCAGCAGCCGCGGUAAUACGUAGGGUGCGAGCGUUAAUCGGAAUUACUGGGCGUAAAGCGUGCGCAGGCGGUGCUGUAAGACAGGCGUGAAAUCCCCGGGCUCAACCUGGGAAUUGCGCUUGUGACUGCAGUGCUGGAGUGCGGCAGAGGGGGAUGGAAUUCCGCGUGUAGCAGUGAAAUGCGUAGAUAUGCGGAGGAACACCGAUGGCGAAGGCAAUCCCCUGGGCCUGCACUGACGCUCAUGCACGAAAGCGUGGGGAGCAAACAGGAUUAGAUACCCGGGUAGUCC